GCUACUCUGGUGACGAGCGGCGGACGGGUGAGUAGUGCUUGGGAACAUGCCUUGAGGUGGGGGACAACAGUUGGAAACGACUGCUAAUACCGCAUAAUGUCUACGGACCAAAGGGGGCUUCGGCUCUCGCCUUUAGAUUGGCCCAAGUGGGAUUAUCUAGUUGGUGAGGUAGUGGCUCACCAAGGCGACGAUCCCUAUCUGGUUUGAGAGGAUGAUCACCCACACUGGGACUGAGACACGGCCCAGACUCCUACGGGAGGCAGCAGUGGGGAAUAUUGCACAAUGGGCGCAAGCCUGAUGCAGCCAUGCCGCGUGUGUGAAGAAGGCCUUCGGGUUGUAAAGCACUUUCAGUCAGGAGGAAAGGGUGGGAGUUAAUACCUGAUAUCUGUGACGUUACUGACAGAAGAAGCACCGGCUAACUCCGUGCCAGCAGCCGCGGUAAUACGGAGGGUGCGAGCGUUAAUCGGAAUUACUGGGCGUAAAGCGUACGCAGGCGGUUUGUUAAGCGAGAUGUGAAAGCCCCGGUCUCAACCUGGGAACUGCAUUUCGAACUGGCAAACUAGAGUGUGAUAGAGGGUGGUAGAAUUUCAGGUGUAGCGGUGAAAUGCGUAGAGAUCUGAAGGAAUACCGAUGGCGAAGGCAGCCACCUGUCUCAACACUGACGCUCAUG
rnacentral:rRNA from 1 species